rnacentral:rRNA from 1 species
AUUGAACGCUAGCGGGAUGCUUUACACAUGCAAGUCGAACGGCAGCGCGGACUUCGGUCUGGCGGCGAGUGGCGAACGGGUGAGUAAUGUAUCGGAACGUGCCCAGUAGCGGGGGAUAACUACGCGAAAGCGUAGCUAAUACCGCAUACGCCCUACGGGGGAAAGCAGGGGAUCGUAAGACCUUGCACUAUUGGAGCGGCCGAUAUCGGAUUAGCUAGUUGGUGAGGUAACGGCUCACCAAGGCGACGAUCCGUAGCUGGUUUGAGAGGACGACCAGCCACACUGGGACUGAGACACGGCCCAGACUCCUACGGGAGGCAGCAGUGGGGAAUUUUGGACAAUGGGGGCAACCCUGAUCCAGCAAUCCCGCGUGUGCGAUGAAGGCCUUCGGGUUGUAAAGCACUUUUGGCAGGAAAGAAACGUCGCGGGCUAAUACCCCGUGGAACUGACGGUACCUGAAGAAUAAGCACCGGCUAACUACGUG